rnacentral:rRNA from 1 species
GACGAACGCUGGCGGCGUGCCUAAUACAUGCAAGUCGAACGCAGUGGGGACGGGUGAGUAACACGUGGGUAACCUCCCAUCAGAGGGGAUAACACUUGGAAACAGGUGCUAAACAGAUACUGAUGGAUGGACCCGCGGGGCAUUAGCUAGUUGGUGAGGUAACGGCUCACCAAGGCCACGAUGCAUAGCCGACCCUGGAGUGGGAUCGGCCACCCUGGGACGGGGACACGGCCCAGACUCCUGCGGGGGGCAGCAGUAGGGAAUCUUCGGCAAUGGGGGGAACCCUGACCGAGCAACGCCGCGUGAGUGAAGAAGGUUUUCGGAUCGUAAAGCUCUUUUGGGAAGGAAGCGGUACUUAACCAGAAAGGGACGGCUAACUACGUGCCAGCCGCCGCGGUAAUAC